rnacentral:lncRNA from 1 species
UGGGUGUGGGCCAAGCUGUAGGUGUGGGCAUGGGCGACAGUGUAGGCAUGGGCAUGGGUGUGGGUGAUGGUGUGGGUGUGGGCCAGGCUGUAGGUGUGGGCAUGGGUGACGGUGUAGGCAUGGGCAUGGGUGUGGGUGAUGGCGUGGGUGUGGGCGAGGCUGUAGGUGUGGGCAUGGGUGAUGGUGUAGGCGUGGGCAUGGGUGUGGGUGUCAGUGAUAGUGCAGCCAUCCCCACACCUAAGGG